GCGUGCUUAACACAUGCAAGUCGAACGAAGAUAUUUAGAAUGAGAGCUUCGGCAGGAUUUCUUUCUAUCUUAGUGGCGGACGGGUGAGUAACGUGUGGGCAACCUGCCCUGUACUGGGGAAUAAUCAUUGGAAACGAUGACUAAUACCGCAUGUGGUUCUCGGAAGGCAUCUUCUGAGGAAGAAAGGAUUUAUUCGGUACAGGAUGGGCCCGCAUCUGAUUAGCUAGUUGGUGAGAUAACAGCCCACCAAGGCGACGAUCAGUAGCCGACCUGAGAGGGUGAUCGGCCACAUUGGGACUGAGACACGGCCCAAACUCCUACGGGAGGCAGCAGUGGGGAAUAUUGCACAAUGGGCGAAAGCCUGAUGCAGCAACGCCGCGUGAAGGAUGAAGGGUUUCGGCUCGUAAACUUCUAUCAAUAGGGAAGAAACAAAUGACGGUACCUAAAUAAGAAGCCCCGGCUAACUACGUGCCAGCAGCCGCGGUAAUACGUAGGGGGCAAGCGUUAUCCGGAAUUACUGGGUGUAAAGGGAGCGUAGGCGGCAUGGUAAGCCAGAUGUGAAAGCCUUGGGCUUAACCCGAGGAUUGCAUUUGGAACUAUCAAGCUAGAGUACAGGAGAGGAAAGCGGAAUUCCUAGUGUAGCGGUGAAAUGCGUAGAUAUUAGGAAGAACACCAGUGGCGAAGGCGGCUUUCUGGACUGAAACUGACGCUAANGCUCGAAAAGCGUGGGGAGCAAACAGGAUUAGAUACCCUGGUAGUCCACGCCGUAAACGAUGAGUGCUAGGUGUCGGGGAGGAAUCCUCGGUGCCGCAGCUAACGCAAUAAGCACUCCACCUGGGGAGUACGACCGCAAGGUUGAACUCAAAAGGAAUUGACGGGGGCCCGCACAAGCGGUGGAGCAUGUGGUUUUAAUUCGAAGCAACGCGAAGAACCUUACCAAGGCUUGACAUCCCGAUGACCGCUCUAGAGAUAGAGCUUCUCUUCGGAGCAUCGGUGACAGGUGGUGCAUGGUUGUCGUCAGCUCGUGUCGUGAGAUGUUGGGUUAAGUCCCGCAACGAGCGCAACCCUUAUCUUCAGUAGCCAUCAUUCAGUUGGGCACUCUGGAGAGACUGCCGUGGAUAACACGGAGGAAGGUGGGGAUGACGUCAAAUCAUCAUGCCCCUUAUGUCUUGGGCUACACACGUGCUACAAUGGCUGGUAACAAAGUGACGCAAGACGGUGACGUUAAGCAAAUCACAAAAACCCAGUCCCAGUUCGGAUUGUAGUCUGCAACUUGACUACAUGAAGCUGGAAUCGCUAGUAAUCGCGAAUCAGCAUGUCGCGGUGAAUACGUUCCCGGGCCUUGUACACACCGCCCGUCACACCAUGGGAGUUGGAAGCACCCGAAGUCGGUGACCUAACCGUAAGGAAGGAGCCGCCGAAGGUGAAGCCAGUGACUGGGGUGAA
rnacentral:rRNA from 1 species